GCGGGCUGUCGUAGGGGCGUGACGUUUUCCGCCCUGAACGCUGCGGGCACCUCCCCGUCGCGAAGGGAAGAAAAACUCGCGUCCUGUGCAGACGCCCGCGGGGCGGGUGACUCGCGCGCGCGAGUAACAGUUGGCCCGACACGGCGCCUCGUCACCCUCGUCACCCGGGAGAGCCGCCGCGCGGAGGAGGGACGGGAGUGGAUGUGCCUCCAAACGGAGACGCAGGAACGGGGAGGAAAGUGCCGCGUGUCACCGAUAGGGAUGGAGCCUGAGGAGGAAAGACAGCUCCCACUGACAGACUAAAGCUUGGGGCGCGGCCGGAGGGAGCGGUUUCAGACUCUAAAUGCAGAUGUAGAAGGCGGAGUCAGCGACUUUGUGAGGCCUACAGCCCUGGAGAGGAGGGUGAGCAACUAGGUUGAAGGGACCUGGAUAACUGGAUGACCUGAAGGUCAUCUUACCCUCAACUCCCUACCUACUAGAGAAGCAAAUGUCUUUUGUUUGCAUCCCUUGUAUUUUUGAGUCUCUUGUGUUACAGCAGCUUUGCCUGUGCCUUAUCUUGGCCAGUGGCUGACCAGCUCAACCAGAAGUUUCUGAAUAAAGACAUUGAGACACUGUGAGAUGACUGUUAUUGGAGGCCGUGCUGCAGAAGCUCCCAAGCAUGCUCACUCAUGGUUAAAACCCGAAAAAGAAGAAUAGCCACUCAUGGAUGUGAUAUGUUAUAGAGUAUAAUAGUUUGCCUCCUGCUGUCUUGGCUGGCUACUCACCCAUUCUGUUUCUGGUUAAAACUCCAUCUUUGACAUCACUGCUUCCAUAAAUAAAGCCUUUCCUGAUUACUCA